CCAAAGUUUUAUUUUAGCUUAAAAAAUUGUAUAUUUUUAAAAUUUACAUGUAAAUUUUGUUAAUUAAAUAGAUUAUUUGCAGUAAUUAAUUUUAUAUUUUUUGUUAUUAAAGAAUUAGUUAUAAAUCAAUGUUUUGACUAAAUUUGUGCCAGCAGUCGCGGUUAUACAAUUAAAGCAAUAUAAUUUUAUUAAUUAAUAUAAAAUUUAUUAUUAUAAAUUAUUUUAAUGUAAAUAAAGGUGAAAUUUUUUUUAUAUUAUGUAGUUUUUUAUUGUUAAUUAUUUUAUGAAAUUUAAAUUUUAAACAAGGAUUAGAUACCCUUUUAUUAUAAAUAUAAAUUGUUAAAUUGAUUAGUAUUAGCUAUGUUCUUGAAAUUUAAAGAUUUUGGCGGUAUUUUAGUCCAGUUAGAGGAAUCUGUCUUGUAAUUGAUAUACCACGAUAUUUAUAACUUUAUUUUUGUUUGUAUAUCGUUGUUGGAAAAGAUUUUUUAAAAAUGAAUUUUUGUUUUUUUUAUAUUAGAAAUUAAUUCAAAUCAAGGUGCAGCUGUAGUAAAGAGAUAGAUGGAUUACAAUGAAUAUAUUUUAGGAUAAUUUUAUAUUAUAAAUUUUGAGUUUGGAUUUAAAAGUAAUUUUAAUGUUUUAGUUAAAAUGAUUUUGGCUCUAUAAUAUGCACAUAUUGCCCGUCGCUUUCAUAUUAAUUUGGAAUAAGUCGUAACAUAGUAGAUUUACUGGAAGGUGUAUCUAGAAAGUC
rnacentral:ncRNA from 1 species